GCCGGGAUACCGAAGCAGUCAAACGGAGCGGUCUGUAAAACCGCUGGCGCAAGUCUACGUAGGUGCAAAUCCUACUCCCGGCACCA
rnacentral:tRNA from 2 species